rnacentral:rRNA from 1 species
GAAGUGAUUAUGCUGACAUGAGUAACGAUAAAAUAUGUGAAAAACAUAUUCGCCGAAAACCCGAGGUUUCCUGGGUAAAGGUAAUCUUCCCAGGGUUAGUCGGAUCCUAAGGUGAGGGUGAAAGCCGUAACCGAUGGAAAACAGGUUAAUAUUCCUGUACUUGUUGUGUAGCGCGAUGGAGGGACGCAGGAAGAUAGGCGGGCCGGGUGUUGGAUAUCCCGGUGCAAGCGUGUAGGAAUAUCCGGUAGGCAAAUCCGCCGGACGAAUCUGAGACGCGAGUCCGUGGGCGCAAGCCCUGAAGCCGUUGAGUCUAUGCUGCCUAGAAAAGCUCCUAAGUUUAUCCACAGCAAUCCGUACCGCAAACCAACUCAGGUGGGUGGGAUGAACAAUCCAAGGCGCUCGAGAGAACUCUGGCCAAGGAACUCGGCAAAAUAACCCCGUAACUUCGGAAGAAGGGGUGCUCUCUAGGGUGACAUGUUUAACAUAUGAAGCCCCGGGGAGCCGCAGUGAAUUGGUGGUGGCGACUGUUUACUAAAAACAUAGGUCUGUGCGAAGUCCUAAAGACGACGUAUACGGACUGACGCCUGCCCGGUGCUGGAAGGUUAAAAGGAGGGGUCAGCGCAAGCAAAGCUCCGAAUUGAAGCCCCAGUAAACGGCGGCCGUAACUAUAACGGUCCUAAGGUAGCGAAAUUCCUUGUCGGGUAAGUUCCGACCUGCACGAAUGGCGUAACGAUCUCCACGCUGUCUCGGCCAGAGACUCGGUGAAAUUGCAGUCGCGGUGAAAAUUCCGUGUACCCGCAGAAAGACGGAAAGACCCUGUGCACCUUUACUAUAGCUUGACAUUGGAUUUUGGGCCUGCAUGUGUAGGAUAGGUGGGAGGCUGUGAACCCUGUACGCCAGUAUGGGGGGAGCCAUCCUUGAAAUACCACCCUUGCAUGUUUAAGAUCCUAACUUCUUCCGGUUAUCCCGGAGAAAGACAGUGUCUGGCGGGUAGUUUGACUGGGGCGGUCGCCUCCUAAAGUGUAACGGAGGCAUGCAAAGGUUCCCUCAGCCUGAUCGGAAACCAGGCGCUGAGUGCAAACGCAUAAGGGAGCUUGACUGUAAGAGAGACAUCUCGAACAGGAACGAAAGUUGGCGUUAGUGAUCCGGUGGUCCCGAAUGGAAGGGCCAUCGCUCAUUGGAUAAAAGGUACGCCGGGGAUAACAGGCUGAUCGCAUCCAAGAGUUCACAUCGACGAUGCGGUUUGGCACCUCGAUGUCGGCUCAUCACAUCCUGGGGCUGAAGCAGGUCCCAAGGGUACGGCUGUUCGCCGUUUAAAGUGGUACGCGAGCUGGGUUUAAAACGUCGUGAGACAGUUUGGUCCCUAUCUUCUGUGGGCG